rnacentral:rRNA from 1 species
GAUGAACGCUGGCGGCGUGCCUAAUACAUGCAAGUCGAGCGAACAGACGAGGAGCUUGCUCCUCUGACGUUAGCGGCGGACGGGUGAGUAACACGUGGAUAACCUACCUAUAAGACUGGGAUAACUUCGGGAAACCGGAGCUAAUACCGGAUAAUAUAUUGAACCGCAUGGUUCAAUAGUGAAAGACGGUUUUGCUGUCACUUAUAGAUGGAUCCGCGCCGCAUUAGCUAGUUGGUAAGGUAACGGCUUACCAAGGCAACGAUGCGUAGCCGACCUGAGAGGGUGAUCGGCCACACUGGAACUGAGACACGGUCCAGACUCCUACGGGAGGCAGCAGUAGGGAAUCUGCCGCAAUGGGCGAAAGCCUGACGGAGCAACGCCGCGUGAGUGAUGAAGGUCUUCGGAGCGUAAAACUCUGUUAUUAGGGAAGAACAAAUGUGUAAGUAACUAUGCACGUCUUGACGGUACCUAAUCAGAAAGCCACGGCUAACUACGUG